CACGUAGGCGGACCGACAAGUCGGGGGUGAAAUCCCGGGGCUCAACCCCGGAACUGCCUCCGAAACUGUCGGUCUGGAGGUCGAGAGAGGCGAGUGGAAUUCCGAGUGUAGAGGUGAAAUUCGUAGAUAUUCGGAGGAACACCAGUGGCGAAGGCGGCUCGCUGGCUCGAUACUGACGCUGAGGUGCGAAAGCGUGGGAGCAAACA
rnacentral:rRNA from 1 species